GGACUACUGGGGUUUCUAAUCCUGUUCGCUCCCCACGCUUUCGCUCCUCAGCGUCAGGUAAGGCCCAGAGAACCGCCUUCGCCACCGGUGUUCCUCCCGAUAUCUGCGCAUUUCACCGCUACACCGGGAAUUCCAUUCUCCCCUACCUACCUCUAGUCCACCCGUAUCCACUGCAAGCUCGGGGUUAAGCCCCGAGUUUUCACAACAGACGUGAUGGACCGCCUACGAGCUCUUUACGCCCAAUAAUUCCGGACAACGCUUGCGCCCUACGUAUUACCGCGGCUGCUGGCAC
rnacentral:rRNA from 1 species